AACGAACGCUGGCGGCGUGUUUAAGACAUGCAAGUCGCACGGGAUAAGACAUGUAGUAAUACUUGUUUUAUUUAGUGGCGCACGGGUGAGUAACACGUGAAUUACAUGCCCUAUAGUGGGGAAUAGCCCAGGGAAACUUGGAUUAAUACCCCAUGGUAUCGAAAGAUUAAAGGUGGCCGCAAGGCUGUCGCUAUAGGAUUGGUUCGCGCCCUAUCAGCUUGUUGGUGAGGUAACGGCUCACCAAGGCAAUGACGGGCACCUGGUCUGAGAGGACGAUCAGGCACACUGGAACUGAGACACGGUCCAGACACCUACGGGUGGCAGCAGUCGAGAAUAAUUCACAAUGGGGGCAACCCUGAUGGUGCAACGCCGCGUGGAGGAUGACGGUCUUCGGAUUGUAAACUCCUGUCAUCUGGGAGAAAGACCUGACGGUAAAUAGCCGGCAGGGUUGAUAGUACCAGAAGAGGAAGGGACGGCUAACUUCGUGCCAGCCGCCGCUGUAA
rnacentral:rRNA from 1 species